rnacentral:tRNA from 1 species
AGUCCUGGGGUGUUUAAACAUAUUGGAUUGCAAAUCUUAAGUAGCGAAGUAAUGUUCGCCGGGGCUU